rnacentral:lncRNA from 1 species
AUUGCCAAAUUAUCUCACUCAGCUAAAUAGCCAAGUUAAAUCAAUACGAAUCUUCUACACAAUCUAGGCACAAGUUUGCAUUGGCAAAAGAAAUGUAGCAUGGAAUUAUAUACCAAAGAAAUCAGGUGCAUAGUGAUGCCAAGAGUACAGACUGUGGCAAAAA